AGCGUAGGCGGACAUUUAGGUCAGGGGUGAAAUCCCGGGGCUCAACCUCGGAAUUGCCUUUGAUACUGGGUGUCUUGAGUAUGAGAGAGGUGUGUGGAACUCCGAGUGUAGAGGUGAAAUUCGUAGAUAUUCGGAAGAACACCAGUGGCGAAGGCGACACACUGGCUCAUUACUGACGCUGAGGCUCGAAAGCGUGGGGAGCAAACA
rnacentral:rRNA from 1 species